rnacentral:rRNA from 1 species
GUAGGUGGCGAACGUUAUCCGGAAUUAUUGGGCGUAAAGGGUGCGUAGGCGGCAUGAUAAGUUAUUGGCGGCAAAUCGAGGCUCAACCUCGUGGAAACUGAUAAUACUGUUUUGCUUGAGUACAGAAGAGGUUAACGGAACUCCAUGUGGAACGGUAAAAUGUGUAGAUAUAUGGAAGAACAUCAAUAACGGCGAAGGCAGUUAACUAUUCUGUUACUGACGUUGAGGCACGAAAGCGUGGGGAGCAAAAAGGAUUAGAUACCCUUGUAGUCCACGCCCUAAACGAUGAGUACUAGAUAUUGGAAACUUGAUUUUCAGUGUCGCUAGUUAACACGGUAAGUACUCCGCCUGGGUAGUACGCUCGCAAGAGUG